GACGAACGCUGGCGGCGUGCCUAAUACAUGCAAGUCGAACGAGAGCGACCGGUGCUUGCACUGGUCAAUCUAGUGGCGAACGGGUGAGUAACACGUGGGUAACCUGCCCAUCAGAGGGGGAUAACAUCCGGAAACGGAUGCUAAAACCGCAUAGGUCUUCGAACCGCAUGGUUUGAGGAGGAAAAGAGGCGCAAGCUUCUGCUGAUGGAUGGACCCGCGGUGCAUUAGCUAGUUGGUGAGGUAACGGCUCACCAAGGCCGUGAUGCAUAGCCGACCUGAGAGGGUGAUCGGCCACAUUGGGACUGAGACACGGCCCAAACUCCUACGGGAGGCAGCAGUAGGGAAUCUUCCGCAAUGGACGCAAGUCUGACGGAGCAACGCCGCGUGAGUGAAGAAGGUUUUCGGAUCGUAAAACUCUGUUGUUAGAGAAGAACAAGUGCUAGAGUAACUGUUAGCGCCUUGACGGUAUCUAACCAGAAAGCCACGGCUAACUACGUG
rnacentral:rRNA from 1 species